CCCAGGAUUAGAAGGUGCAUGGCAUGGACCUUCUGGUCCCCCCAAAGUGCAUGGUCUUUGGGUCACUGAUAUUAGCACUGCCGAGGCUCACCUCCCCAGAGGGUGGCUGAUUGCAAAGUGAGUGAGUCAUGGAUCACUUCACUUCUGCUGCAUCACAGUUCACUUGGUGAAGUGAUAAUCCAGAGGCCUUCAGUCUGGGGGAGCACACUCUGUAUCCAGGAAUUUAGAAGUCAAACACUGUCUUGGACUGCAGAGAAGACCUGGUGAAUAUGACAGUCUACAUUCAAAACACAAUGGCAAAGAAAAAAGACGCCCCCAGUUCUCAUCACUUGGUGAGUGAAGAGUUAGAAAUAGAUCAUGAUUUUUAGAUAUUGGGAUUUGACAGUAUUGUUGAAGGUAAGAUGCAAAAUACAUCUGAUGAGUGGAAAAAUACCAUUCCAUUGAGGAAAAUCUUAGGCUUUGAGACCAGGUCUUUUACAUCAGUCUCAAAGUCAGUCUAUGGCUGGAGAAAUUUCAGGGAUUUUGAGUUCUAGUCACAUGCCUUAACCACAAAACUUUUAGAGUGUGGUCCUAUGGCAUCUCAUCCCCUUGAAUCACUGCUUUUUGAUCUGCUAAACGGGACAGAUGAAGAUAUUCAAAACUUUCUAAUGAUAACAGCAUGCUUUCCAAGGAAGACUGUAACCUUCCAGUUGAAUUAUAGUUGUGAAUAUCUCUUCUCCAGAUUAUUGCAUUUAAUUAGGUCGGUGUGUGUUCAAACAUAACUUUGAACAAUAACCUGUGCAGAUUGAUAUUCUGUGUGCAGCUCUUGGAAAUCCCAUUUGUAAUUGUUGCUCUGCUUACUUUGGUACCUCACAGCUACACAGAGAUAUUUUCCUUGAACAAGAUAAUCUGGUUAAUGGUGAAAUAGUAAGUAAUCAUGAGCAUGGCUGGGCCUGGGUUGAAUAGUCAAGCAAUGCUUUGAGCCAAGGCUUGGAAAAAUAAUGGUUUUGAUAAUUUUUACUAAUCUUGUGGACUUCUACUAGAUUUACAAAUGGGCAUAAAUGCCAGAUAUUGCAAGAAUAAAGAAUAAUCACUGGCACUUGCUCAAUGACCAUCAUGAAAAAAUAUUGAUUGAAUUAUUGGUUCCUUAUUGACCUGCCAACAAUAGCUUUUCAAUUCACUUCUGCACAGACAAAAAAAAAGGUGGUUAGCUCAUGUUGAGAAGACUACAGAUCUCAGACAUUAGCCAUAGGCUGGGCUUCAGGAUGUUUAUCAUCGUCUCUGGUUGUUCUACACUGUUCCAAUAAAGAAACAACCUGUUCUGCCAGCUUCCUAAGUGGUGAUUUCAAUGAUAGAGAUAUUCAUAGGAUUACCUUCUCAAAAUUUUUUAUUUUAUUCAUACUUUGACCAUGUGUCAGCCUGUGAAUAUAAUUAUUUUUCCACCUGAAAUGUGUCACCUCUUUCUAAAGCUUCUUUGAACAAUAGUUUGUAGAUAAUAUCUUUGAACUCUAAAUCCAGCUUCUUGGGAAGUUUUAGCAAGGUCUAGAAAGCCUAAGCGCAAAUGGCAAUAAAGAUAGGAUUCCAGGAAGCUUCACAUCAGUUAGUGGUAUUUUGGGACUUAAGCAUUCCUGUUAGAAAUACAAUCUUUUUCUUGGAUAUUCAUGUCAGGAUUAGUAUUGAACUCAGAAUUGAUGGGAGUUGUUCAGUGCACAGGAGUCUGUAAGGUUAUAAAAUCAGAAUGCUUGAUUACAAAGAAAUAAAAAAUGCUCUUACAUGAAAAAGAUUUUGUUUACAGGCAGUGAAAAAUGUAAGGUUUCCUUUAGCUCUGCACAGAUUGUUGAGCAUUUAUCAUUUGCCUCCAUGCUUAUUUAUACUGAGACUUUGCAGCAGCAACUAUUUAAUUUAUAGCAAAACAUAAUAGGAAUGGCAAAAGGAACUUUGGAAAACAAAAGUAACUCUGUGUGUGUUUUUAGAUAUCUCCUCAAUUAGCUACAACCCUUAUAAAACAGCCACUGCAAUUCUGCUUCUUUACUGCAAUGAGGGUGCUCUGGACUUUCUUCUCAUGUCGCUUCUCCGCAAGAUGAUUUAAAGUUUAUUGACUUAUUUCUGUAAUUUCAUGCUGGGAAUAGACUUUAUAUCAGUGUUUGGGAAUGUGUUUGGUAAUUGUGAAAAUAUUCUUCCCCCACCACUUCCUUGCUUGAAUAUGUAACACCAUUAGAGGCUGUAAAACAGAGAGCUGUGCUAGACAGCAAAAGACAGGUUUAUGGAAAGGGGACAGCACCAGAGACCAGCUGUGAAGGCUCCCUUGUAUCUGUCUUCUGCUCCUACUGUAAAACUAACUGCCUUUUCCAAGGGUGAGAAGUAAUUCACAGUCCUUACAAUAGACUCAUUUCUACUGACUCAAGAGUUUUCUUAUAAAAGACAUUUCUAUAAGAAAUCAUGACUACCUCACUGGGUAACACAAUUUGUUCCUAAUCAGUAUUCUGUGAUACAAAUAGGUGGAUGUUCAGAUACUCUUCUAUAUCCAGAAAGAAAUUUCCCAGUUAAUGAAUCACAGAACAAGUAAUUCAACAAGAUAAUUAGCCAGGUAAUAAUUACAUUAAUUUAAGUAAAAUAGAAAGGGCAUAGUAGUGUCAGUUAAACUGCAGUUCACUUGCACAAACCAAUUCCUUUCCUGAGGAAAGAGCCAAUAUUUGCAUUUGAACUCGCUGGAUAAAGGAUCAGUAUAUAAUUACACUAUUUAACAUAUGCAGAUCAGACUACAGAAGAUCCUGGAUUGAAACUCAAUGAGAAGAAAUGAAAAUUCCAUGUCUGAAUAUACAGUCUGACCAUAUGAUUACCAAUAAGUUUCUCUGUAUCACAAAAGUAGGUCUUAAUCACUUUAAAGCCUUGAAUAAUCUAAAGCAUUACUCCAAUAGAAGGGCUAGCCAACAAAUCAUCACUUGUCUCAAAAAGAUGUGGAGCACUCUUAGCCUCUUAACUCUACUGAGAAAUGUCAUUAGCUGAGAGCUUUUCACUUUGAAAGUCAGAGGUAAAGCCCUUACUUUAUUUAUGUGCACCCUUCAGCUCUUAGGUGACAGACUGAGCACGAAGCAUCUGAAGUUGAUAGGUUCUGACCCUAGGAUGGAGACUAAGCUAAUGCCACUGAGCUAAUCUGGAGAGCUACAGCCAAGCUGAUGAGAGCUGUGACAAGAGCAUUGUGUUCCCACUGUGAAUAACUGAACAACUAAUUUUCUUCCACAGCCACAACAAAAGAGUGCUUAACGUAAAAUUGCCCAGGGAUGAAUUGGCAACAUCCCCAAAAAGCAAAUGCUAUGGGCCAGAUUCCUGUAUGCAUAGCUCCACAUCAGUGCUAGGCCUGUUCUUUGGAAUCUUAUCUUCCCAAAGAAACAGCAGCAAUCACUUCUGUAUGGUGUUUUGCAUUCAGAGCUUAAAAAUUCCCACAGGGUCAGAUGUGAUCAGGAAAGGCUUAUCUGCACUAUGCCUGGUUUGAUACCUGCUGGCUUGCUAAUUAUCAAGGAACUAAAUGCCCAUUUGGACUCCUUGUUAUUUACUUUAAAUGCAAUACAUUCAACAUUAUCUGGUAUCUCCUGUGCCUACUCAAAAACACAUUAGUUGCAGCCAUUUAAUUUUGUUUUUACCAUCUGUUAAUGCUGCAAGACUUUUGUCCUAGGGCCUGUACUUUUGGCAUCACAGGCGAGAUGACAGUGAUACCUGUUGUUCUCCUUCCCCAGCUGACUACACAAGGCAUAGAAAGGCCUCUUUUUGGUUGUCUGUGUGUUUUCUGGCUCGUAUCCCUUGUGCUAUAACUUUCUGUGUCUGUCUUAAGCUGGAACUUUCUUGAAAAACUUCAGGGGAAAUUUUCAAGCUGCAUGCAAGAGCAAAGCUAGGAAAAUUGUAUUAUUUUGCUCAUGUUAAAAAUCCCUCCUGUGCCUUUUUCUGUGAGUUGCUCUAAUUUACCUAGCCUUUGGAGAAGAACUUGAAAACUAGAGAUGCAAAGGGCUUUGUUGUGUAAGAGAGCAUGGACUUCAGCUGAAUCACUUAAGUCUUUCCAAUUCGCAAUUUUCACGUUAUGUAGAGACCUGCUAGAACCUUGCAGUCAAACCACUUUGUGCUUUGGGUAUCCUGUUGGGGUGUCCUCUUGUCACAUUUUCUCUGCAGCACCUGGCUGAACCUGGACUAGAUCCUAGAGAUAUUUUCUGUGAAUUGCCAAAGACCCCCAUUCCAAGAUCAGAGGUCUGGAAGUGUCCCCUUCUAUCACCAAGUUUUGAUGAGCACUGUGGCUGUAAGAGGACACAUGACUCCUUAAUGCUUAUUGGGGAUAGUUGGCAGUCUACAAGGCUCUAAAUGUUUGUUGGUAUUUUAAAGUACCUGCUCACCUUCUACACCCAAGCGAUGGCAGGUCUGAAGGCUCCGGGUCACGUCUAACAUUGUCCUUUGAGGAAUGAAGCUCUUGAGCUCCUGAGGUCAUGGGCACUGGAUGUUUACUCUAAAAAUAGAGCAUUGCUGGUCUGGACAGCAUGCCCAGCAGGGCCCUCCUGCCAUGAGCCCUCAGGCAGCAGCCCCGAGGGGAGAGCUGCUGAGCCCGCUGGGGAGCGAUGGAGCACAGCGCUGGCAGCAGCAUCCUCAUCCUCACUCUCGUGGAGUCACACAAAGCAGGGCUGGAGUUCUUGUUAAACGUGACAGCUUCGCUGAAAUACAAAUAUUGGGGUACCUGCUAUGGCACCCUGAUGGAGACAGCCCUGCAGGAGAGGGACUGCAGAUUUGAGCUGGUACAGCACUCUUAUCUCAGGGAAGAAAGAAGCAAACUGGAUGUCUUAGAGACAAGGGUCAUCAGUGGGGCUGCGGUUCCAUGAGUCAUCAGCAACAUAUCACUUAAAGGGAAGAAGAGAACCAAAUAGUACUGGUAUCCCAACUUUUUCCU